GGAAUUCUUGUUUCAGUCGGAGAAGAGUUCAUGAAUUCAAUAUCAUGAUAAUAAGAUAAUGCUACAUCGUACCCAUGGUUCUGAGAAGCGGUGAAGCUAAUGUUCUGAAGGAGGGAAAGAAAUAUGUUGCUGUGUUCUCAAGACAAAUAUCAAAGAUGUUUCAGUCCUCAGUCUCAGAUAAAAGAAGAGCAGAGUGAGUGUGACCUUUCAGUAUCCAGUCUUCACGCUGACCCUCUGAAGAUUUAGGAUUACUGCCAUAUUGAAGAAAAUGAGGACAAAAACUUUUCAGUCUUUCCAGAAAAUUGCGUGGAAGGAGGAAAAGAAGCAAUAAGUGAACAUGACAAAUCAAUGAGUCAAGGUGGUCAUAGGAUGUUCCUGUUAUUUAAAUGUUAAGGCUGGUUUAUGUUUUUUGCAGGGCCUUAUUGUCUUAAAAUCAAUUUACCUUAAAAGUUUGCCUCUC
rnacentral:lncRNA from 1 species